rnacentral:rRNA from 1 species
GUGUCAGCCGCCGCGGUAAUACGUAGGCAGCGAGCGUUGUUCGGAGUUACUGGGCGUAAAGCGUGCGUAGGCGGUUUUGUAAGUUUGGUGUGAAAUCUCCCGGCUCAACUGGGAGGGUGCGCCGAAAACUGCAAGGCUGGAGUGUGGGAGAGGUAGGCGGAAUUCCUGGUGUAGCGGUGAAAUGCGUAGAUAUCAGGAGGAACACCUGUGGUGUAGACGGCUUACUGGACCAUGACUGACGCUGAGGCACGAAAGCGUGGGGAGCAAACAGGAUUAGAAACCCUAGUAGUCC